GCCCCGUUGGCUCAGUGGUAGAGCAGCCGCCUUGUAAGCGGCAGGUCGUCCGUUCGAUCCGGACACGGGGCU
rnacentral:tRNA from 1 species